UCUGUGCUCUGAGCUCUUGUUUGCCGACCGAGGGAGAGGGACUUUUUGGAGAUAAAUGGGAAGGACUCGGUGGCUUUGGCCGAGUACGAGAGCACGAUUCAGUGAUCUUCAGAAGUUCAACAGUGCACUGUCCUUGCUCCAACAAAAUCUCUGGUUUGCCGCAAUUCAUUUCCCUAAAGGCUGCAGAAGAAGAGAGGCCAGACAAACUCAUAUACAGUCAGCUCUCUCCGUCAGGAUUUCAGCCUAUAUCAACCAUGGACAAUUUCGAGACCCAUUACAAAUCAUCCCAUCUGUUCUCAUCUCAGGAAUUCUUCAAUUUAGAUCAACAAGGUGUCCAAUUUUUAGUGCAUUCCAAUCUUUCCCGUGUCACUGAUUCUUUUGGUGCCUCUCUGCACCAGUUGAACAAGGCUAGAAGGUUCUCGGUGGCUUCAAAUAAUUCCAUUCCCCAUGGUACGAACAACAUUUUCUUUAAUGUCCAUGGCUGUCCAAAUUUUCCUAAUUCUAUUGGUGCUUCUUUGAGACAACAAGCUUUUGAAGGAGGGAUUGCAGUGAAUGCCGGAUUUUACGGUUGGUGCCUUCCCUCCAUGGAACACUUCAAAGCCCUCUGCAUCUACUGUACAGCCGACCAUAGUUUACAGAGGUUCGGUAAAUAUGUAUGAUGAUGUCUCAUUGGAGAAGGUAGAAUCCAUUUCUAGUAUGGAAUUUUGAUGGACUAAAUAAAACAAGAUACACUUGCUGUCAAACAAUUUGAUAAUGAGGUGAAUUUUUUUCCCUUUAGGCUCAAGAGAUUAUGCUUUUGGUGAGCAAUAUGUCUAACAUGACUUCAAAUUCUGUGAAUACAAGAGUUAGGGCACAUAUACUGGACCCAACUAAAGUGCCAGAAGUUGAUGCUUCAUGUACAAAAGUGGCACAGGGCUAGAGCCAGAACCAGGCGACAUCAAACUGCUUAGGUUUUUUUAAGUUCAGUUGCCCUUAUUUCAGCUAAUGGGGCUCAAUCUGGCAGUGUUUCUAGCAACACCAAUGAUAUGUGAGGGGCAAAGAGUGUUGGACCUUUGAUGGAGCCUCUGAAACAUACUAACUCUACCCGGGAGAUUGCUACUUGUGUACCUCUCACGCCUGGAGGUACUUGUUGCAUUGAGGACCUUUUACUCAACUAGUUUCCAUAUGUCAUAGUAAUUUGAUGUAAAAUAUUAAGUGGUACUUCAGGCUCGCAAGGCAUCUCUAGCCCAGUUCCUGCAAAAGCGAAAGGAAAGGCUCACCAACUCCAUGCCUUAUUCCUGCAACAAGAAAUCACCUGAAAGUGUUAUUGGGUUUGAUGGUGCCAAUUUGAUUGCAUCAGCUGACAUUUACUUCUCCUAGUCUAAGAGAGCAGUUAUGGUGCUCGGGCCAACCAAUUAACAACACACAAAGUGCACAAUCUCCAGGUACCAGAUCAGAGAUGUGAGGUUGUUCUGUAUUUUCUGUACUCAUUCUACAUCAUUUUUUUCUAACUUUUCAAUUUAUUUGAGGUUUUACUAUUUAUCAGUGCAGGGAUGUUGUUAUAGUAUAUUGAUUUUGUAGGCUUUUAUAUGACAUGAUGUGGGAGAAGUUUAUCUGCUGACAAUAGAACUUCUGAGCGAUGAUUUUUCUUUUCUUUAUUUCUUUUUUAUCUUUCCCUUGUAGACAUCUUGCAGAAAUGAUAUUAUUUAUCUGUUCUUUUUUUUU